UUCCUGUUCUGUCUCUUGUAGAAAUAAUUAGUGGUCACCCAUUAGAUAAUUUUACUGACGAAUACAUGAGAUUUACUUGUUCAACACAAAACUCUGGAUAUGUUUACGGUGCAUCAUACCGGCUGUCAUGUAGCGCGUACCUGCCGCUAGAGGGCACUGAUCUAAUCACGUGUGAGGCAAAUGACCAAUCAGAAGGCGUUUGGAGCUGGGGAUCUGUUGACAAACCUUAUUGCAGAGAAAUUGCUUGUCCGGAACUAGAAGCACCAAUUAAUGGAGCUUUAACCUAUGACACAGUAUUAACAAGACCGUUACGUAUUAUGUCGUGUAAUAACCUAUUCGAUAUACCAGACAUGGGCACAAACUUUAAUGGACAAUUUUUUAUGUACAGACGAUGGAAAUUGGACUCCAUUUGAUACUGUGCCAGACUGUAUAGAACUUAAGAAUCCUCGAUAUGUGAAGCUACCGGUUGAGAUAUUUUACUAUGGCGGCAAUUGUGGCGAUGAGGCGACUAUGGCAGAAAUUAUGGCGAAUUUCCAAAAUAUAAUUGAAACAAAACUUAGCCCAUUAUUCACAAUAGUUUGCCCAUCUGGAGAAACCUGUCUUGUAGAAGAUAUUGUAGUAACAUUCUGACCAAUUCAGACUCGCAAGAUGAGAUCUCUGUCCUGGACAAUAAACGGUCGUCAUUUUCGUUCUCAAGAAUACGAAGUGUCAACUAGAGAACAUGAAAUCGAAAAACGAAGCACAGAGACCCAUUUGCUAAUUUUGGAAUUUUAUAUCGUUAAUCCUUUAAACUUAACCAACACAACAUUUUUAGAUGCAAUAACGUAUUACGACGAUAUACAGCUCAACAUAAUGAAACCGGCAGAUCAAGAACUGAUCAACA